rnacentral:lncRNA from 1 species
AUGAGUGGCAGAGAGGCAAGAACAGCCACAUCUGACAGAGUGACUACUUGCAGAGACAAGACAAUGGUCCAGCUGAACCACCACCCUGGCCCAAUACAGCCCUCAUUAAGAUUUCAUGGCCUUUUUUUUGUCACUUCCUUUUGUUUAGAGACUAAAUUGAGACCCGUUUUGAAAAGCACCGCACCAUUGGCAAGACCGGGUGCGCUCUCACCAAUAAGGGCAAGUCAUUAUUUUUUCACUUCUCUGUGUAAUCGACUGGCGGCAGUGGAGGGGAAGCUGCGUCGCAAUAUGUGCAACACAAAGCCUCUCUCCGGCGGGCGAGGACGUCGCCUUUUGCCUUAUUCAUGAGCAAAGGAUGCCCAUGGCGUGACCUGACAUGUCAAUCAAACCUCAGAUUGGGAUUUCAGGAGCUAUCAUAGCAAGGUUAAAUGGCAUGGUAUACAAAAAUAUUCCACUAAUGAAACGACAAGUCAGACAGGGUUGCUACAAGCAAAUAGUUUGCAGCCAAAGGGGGAAAAAGAAAAGAAAGCAAAGCAAACUACCACAACCAUUUCUUCAAAGCCAUGUAGUAUUAUUAUAGUUUUUUAAAAAAAACUCUUAAUUUCUUUCCUUCCUUCCUUGACUGCUUGUCAGAACAUUUGGUGAAAAUCCGAUGAUGAAUUUAUAUUUUUAUGCCACCGUUCAUUUGAAUGCUCUUCCCCCCCUCUCAUGAUUGCCUGCAAGAUCAAUUCUGCAUGUUCUCAGAAAACUGUGUUGUGAAUACAACGGCAGCGUGAUUAUGGAGAAGAGGGACAGGCCUAGAGAAUGUAGUCGAUUUCAUGCUCUCUUCUCUUUUAAUUCCCAUUGAAGCCAUCUGCUCAGAUUAGCAGCGGCAAUGAUAAGGGCAGCCAGGACACCUGGCGGACUGGGGAGGGUUCUCUGGAGAACACCUGUCUCUUCCAGUAUCCCCUUUUGCCAUUAUCCCCUUUCAGGGCAGGACAGCCAGAAGACACAGGCUAUCCUUGUUUGACACUACGCAGCACCUGACAUUCUAGAUCUGUUACAAUGUGAUAGAAAUACCAUCUGGUUGUAAAUCCAAUGCAGUUACUGGGACACACUUCAAGAACCAAGAUUAUUGGGCAGGGCUUCACAAACAUUACAAAAUAAAGAAGUUUCAGAUCCGUGUACUCUGUAUAGA